AUUGAACGCUGGCGGCAUGCUUUACACAUGCAAGUCGAACGAUUGGCGAAGGGGUGAAUAACAUAUCGGAACGUACCGAGUAAUGGGGGAUAACUAAUCGAACGAUUAGAUAAUACCGCAUAUUAUUAGCGCGGACGAUAUCUGCGUAGCUGGUGGGUGGGGUAAAGGCAUACCAAGGCGACGAUCAGUAGCGGGUCGGAGAGGAAGAUCGGCCAAACGGGAACUGGGACACGGCCCAGACUCCGACGGAAGGAGGCAGUGGGGAAUUUUGGACAAUGGGCGCAAGCCUGAUCCAGCCAGGCCGCUGGUCUGAAGAAGGCCUGCGGGUUGUAAAGGACUUUGGUCAGGGAAGCGGUACCUGAAGAGUAAGCACCGGCUAACUACGUGCCAGCAGCCGCGGUAAUAC
rnacentral:rRNA from 1 species